ACUAUUGGGGAAGGCAUUGCCUGCCCAGUGACAACUGUUUAACGGCCGCGGUAUCCUGACCGUGCAAAGGUAGCAUAAUCAUUUGUUCUCUAAAUAAGGACUUGUAUGAAUGGCCGCACGAGGGUUUUACUGUCUCUUACUUCCAAUCAGUGAAAUUGACCUUCCCGUGAAGAGGCGGGAAUGCACAAAUAAGACGAGAAGACCCUAUGGAGCUUUAACUAACCAACCCAAAGAGAAUAGAUUUAACCAUUAAGGAAUAACAACAAUCUCCAUGAGUUGGUAGUUUCGGUUGGGGUGACCUCGGAGAAUAAAAAAUCCUCCGAGCGAUUUUAAAGACUAGACCCACAAGUCAAAUCACUCUAUCGCUCAUUGAUCCAAAAACUUGAUCAACGGAACAAGUUACCCUAGGGAUAACAGCGCAAUCCUAUUCAAGAGUCCAUAUCGACAAUAGGGUUUACGACCUCGAUGUUGGAUCAGGACAUCCUGAUGGUGCAACCGCUAUCAAAGGUUCGUUUGUUCAACGAUUAAAGUCCUACGUGAUCUGAGUUCAGACCGGA
rnacentral:rRNA from 1 species